CAGCCAAAUGGUUUUACACAUCCGCCAUCUUUAUUACUUGGAGAGACUUUUGUAGUCCAAACAACUCAAGGAUGCCGAAGUGGAGAGAUCAAAAUGUUCCUUUGUUGGAUGCAUCAAUCCACACAACUCCUUACACCGUACCCCAGCAUCAGAACCAUAAAAAGAAGUGUGCCACAGAUGAAUUAAUCAAAAGCAAGGGUCACCAAUAUGGAGCCCCCAAGGACCUUAUCAGCAAGCAUUUCCAGGUCGUUUCUAGUGCUGAUGGACAGGAGCCGUUGAGGAGCCCCAUGCAGACCAGUAAGCCUCCAGGCAAGCAAGUAACCUGACUCCUCCCUCCAAUAAAUGGAGGGCAAGAAAAGAUCUGAUAACAUGUUAAGCUCUUCCUCUGAGUUUGAUGCCAAAACUUUCUCUCUCAUUAAUUUUUUUGUUCAUGUUUCAAUGAGCCAAAUGAGAGACAUGCACAACUCUGUCCAUUUACAUACGGUAUGACUACGCCCAUGACAAAUAAAAUAUGAAUUUAGUUUGAAAUCUUGCACAUUAACUGCCACCCCCUUCACAAUAAGUAUGACAGCUUAGAAAAAGGCUAAGGUGUUUAGUUCAAGUCUGGAACAUUUUUUUCCCCCAUUCUUUUGGCAUUUUCGUAGUCAAACGCAAUUAGAAACUGGGGCUUGCGCUUUUGUGGUACACUUAUAUAUUUAUUGAUCAUAUAGUAUUGUAUUUACAAUUUAUGAACAGACUUCUAAAGGAAUGUAAACGAACAUUUGGAGCAAUAUCACAUUGUCCUAAAGCUUAGACACAUGUUUCCUCAAUUUAGAAGUUUUAUUUGGACUUUUAAAUGUUUUUUUAAUUUAGAAAAAAAAUCCCCAAUGUAGUGAAGCCGCGAUAAACGAAACGCAGAGUAGCGAGGGAUCACUGUAUUUCAGACAACACAAGGCAUUUGAAUUCAGCUUUUAGGCUAAUGUGAUAUCUCUGGCACGGGGGGGGGAGGCUUUAUUUGAGCGUUCACGGCAAGGAGCAGUGUUCCAUGUUUGUUUGAUGCAAACAAGAAAAAAAGGCUUCAAUUAUCAGUGAUAAUUUAUUCAUACAAACAUUCAUCAAACUUACAAGAAAAAAAAAAUCUUUGAACACGCCCUCGUCCUCAAGCAUGCUGCUGUAUGUAUGACUCAUCAUUGGUAACUUCAGACAAAAACACAUUGCACUUGACAAGUCACUACCCAUUUUUUAUUUCUUUUUGGCAUGCUUCGCUGUUAGCUGGUUUUGUCAAAGUUCACCCUGGUUCUAGGGUUCACAAGAUGCAGCCGCAUGGAAGAUGCUCACCAGUCAAAGUACUCUUCAAAUUAGCUGGAACUAACACUCUCAGAGUCAAUUAGCCCUUCGGAACUCAACUGUCGGAAGAAACACACGCGCACACGCACGUACACACAAGCUUGAAGAGGUCAUGUUACUCAGUGCAUAGAUCAGCCAGUCCAGUGCUGCGAAAUAUGCAGCAAAAAAAAAAAAGACACCACCACCAUUGUUGUCGUGUCUGUUCUUAAGUCACGACGGGAUUGAUGAUGUUUGCAUCCAUCCAAGGAAAUCAAAGAUGCAGAAUAGUAUUGAACACAAACACAAAUGUGAGGGCUAUUUAAUCAUUUUGCCAAAUGUUUUUUUCCUUCUCAACAUUCAUCAAAUACAUUCAAAUUAAAGGAUAUUGUGCAAGCGCUAUAAAAUGAAAAUGGGCAUGAUUCGACUUUUUUCAAUAAUGCGUUGCAGUUCAUAAAAACUGCAGUCCGGUGAUAUUAUGGAUAAAUUGAUUCUGUGGAUAGGGAAUUGCGAUAAAUCACGCAAUUCCUGAGCUUAUAAGAUGGAGACAUGAUUAGAAUAGGUGUCAACUAUAAAACAGCAUACACGUUAAAGAAAAUAAUUCAAAGGCAGCACGGUGAAGCGCCUGUUUGUUAGCCCAUCAAAGGUUGUGAGUUUGGAUCUCAGAUUUCGCUGCGGAGUCUCCAGCUUCUCCACAUAAUUGUGUGAAUAUUCUCUGUGUAUUCUG